rnacentral:rRNA from 1 species
AUGAUUGCCAUCAUGGUACUUGUAUUGGGGGCUGGAGCUCAUGUAUUACUCCCAGGUGUUUGCUUAAAUGCUUCAGUCCAACAAAAAGCUCCAGAAAAGUUCAUAGUUUGUUUUCAGAAAAGCUCCAUGGCAUUUCUUCGGCUGCAGCAUGUACAUGCAUCCCUACAAAAAAAAAUGUCCUAUAGGUGUUUAUGUUCAUGCCUACAAGUGAUUUGUUGUGAAGUUAGGCAAGAUGAAGCUGGGACAAGUCCGAAUCGCGUGGCAGCGCCUCUUGUGAUUACUACUACAAAGCAGAAAGGAUCUCUAAUGCUCGAGCCACAGCAGCUCCCAGGCCGUUCACCGUCGGCACCAUAG